UAUAUCACCAUUUUGGACAUGUAUGUUUAUAUGUGGAUACUUAUAAGGAAAGGUCAGGAAGAAGUCAAAAUCCUGUUGAGAGAAGUUUCAUUAAAGUUAAAGGGACACUAUAAUCACCAGAACAACUAUAGCUUAAUGUAGUUGUUCUGGUGAGUAUAAUCAUUGCCUUCAGGCAUUUUUCCUCAGAUGGCCACUGGAUGUGCUUCCUGCUCCUACUAUGCAGCCCUGCCAUUCAGCAUCCCAACGUUCUGCAUGGAGACGCUGAAUUUUCAUCUUAAAACACUGCACAUCCAGACUAAUUAGCAUUUUUGUGCCAGGGGCAAGUUGCACCCCCAGGACACUAGAAA